rnacentral:rRNA from 1 species
GACGAACGCUGGCGGCGUGCUUAACACAUGCAAGUCGAACGGAAAGGCCCUGCUUCUGUGGGGUGCUCGAGUGGCGAACGGGUGAGUAACACGUGAGUAACCUGCCCUUGACUUUGGGAUAACUUCAGGAAACUGGGGCUAAUGCCGGAUAGGAGCUCCUGCUGCAUGGUGGGGGUUGGAAAGUUUCGGCGGUUGGGGAUGGACUCGCGGCUUAUCAGCUUGUUGGUGGGGUAGUGGCUUACCAAGGCUU